rnacentral:lncRNA from 1 species
GUGGUUGUGCAAAGCACAUGUUCUCUCACCUAAUAUUUUGAAUUUAAUGAUAACCUGUACAAUUCUUACAUAUAUUGAGAAUAAUGUCUUUCCUAAAGUAGAUAAAUAUAACUGCUUUCUGUGUUGCAGGUGGGCAAAAUGAGCUGCUGAAUGCUUCACUGGUUUGGGCUGAAAAGCCCAGCAGGCCACCUGCACGGAUGUGAUUUGGCUCCUCACUCCACUUGCUGCCCAUCAGCCUUGAGCCCCAUCCAACAGGCCAUGGCUGGGAGGGAGUGUGGGCAGACAGGAGAAGAGGAAGAUUUACGUAAGGGAACAACGGGACGAGUGAAGCUGCCGUCAGAGUUAUUUGUAAAUCCAGGAACAAACUGAGAAAUGUAUUGCUGUACUUCAUGGACAUCUAAAUGAAGGCCUUGUCUUCUCACGGGUCCAUGAGGUUGCAGCAGAGCCAUGAAACCACAUUUCUACACAGUACAGAUUCGCUGGAAGAUAGAGGGAGGCAAGUGACUGAAUGGAGAGCAGGGCAGCAAAGGUUAACAGCUUUCUGCUCUUGGUCUCCUGGAUCUUCUUGUCAGUGCAGUAACAGCUGGAUCUCCCAGGAAGGUAAUGAUCUUCCCGGCUGCUCUGUCUUGCUGCAGGCUAUUAGAAAAGACACGCAGCCCCUUUGCUGCCCAUUUCUUUAGCA